rnacentral:tRNA from 1 species
ACCGACAUAGCUCAGUUGGGAGAGCGUUAGACUAUAGAUCGAGUCCUUGGUUCGACCUCGGGGUUUCGGCG